UACAGAGGUCCCAAGCGUUGUUCGGAUUCAUUGGGCGUAAAGGGUGCGUAGGUGGUGAUGCAAGUCUGGUGUGAAAUCUCGGAGCUCAACUCCGAAAUUGCACCGGAUACUGCGUGACUCGAGGACUGUAGAGGAGAUCGGAAUUCACGGUGUAGCAGUGAAAUGCGUAGAUAUCGUGAGGAAGACCAGUUGCGAAGGCGGAUCUCUGGACAGUUCCUGACGCUGAGGCACGAAGGUCAGGGGAGCAAACGGG
rnacentral:rRNA from 1 species